rnacentral:rRNA from 1 species
UGGGGAAUAUUGCACAAUGGGCGCAAGCCUGAUGCAGCGACGCCGCGUGAGGGAUGGAGGCCUUCGGGUUGUAAACCUCUUUCGCCAGUGAAGCAGGCCUGCUCCUUGUGGGUGGGUUGACGGUAGCUGGAUAAGAAGCGCCGGCUAACUACGUGCCAGCAGCCGCGGUAAUACGUAGGGCGCGAGCGUUGUCCGGAAUUAUUGGGCGUAAAGAGCUCGUAGGCGGCUGGUCGCGUCUGUCGUGAAAUCCUCUGGCUUAACUGGGGGCUUGCGGUGGGUACGGGCCGGCUUGAGUGCGGUAGGGGAGACUGGAACUCCUGGUGUAGCGGUGGAAUGCGCAGAUAUCAGGAAGAACACCGGUGGCGAAGGCGGGUCUCUGGGCCGUUACUGACGCUGAGGAGCGAAAGCGUGGGGAGCGAACAGGAUUAGAUACCCUGGUAGUCCACGCCGUAAACGUUGGGCACUAGGUGUGGGGGCC